CGGGGCGUGGCCCAGCUUGGUAGGGCGCUUGGUUCGGGACCAAGAAGUCGUGGGUUCAAGUCCCGUCGCCCCGA
rnacentral:tRNA from 1 species